rnacentral:rRNA from 1 species
AUUGAACGCUGGCUGCAGGCCUAACACAUGCAAGUCGAACGCGUGGCUGACGGGUUAGUAAUUUCUGGGUAACUGCCUGAUGGAGGGGGAUAACUACUGGAAACGUUAGCUAAUACCGCAUACCAUCAGAUGUGCCCAGAUGGGAUUAGCUUGUUGGUGGGUUAACGGCUCACCAAGGCGACGAUCCCUAGCUGGUCUGAGAGGAUGACCAGCCACAGUGGAACGGAGACACGGUCCAGAGUCGUACGGGAGGCAGCAGUGGGGAAUAUUGAACAAUGGGCGCAAGCCUGAUGCAGCCAUGCCGCGUGUAUGAAGAAGGCCUUCGGGUUGUAAAGUACAUUCAGCGGGGAGGCGUUACCCGCAGUAGAAGCACCGGCUAACUCCGUGCCAGCAGCCGCGGUAAUAC